rnacentral:rRNA from 1 species
GACAGAGGGGGCAAGCGUUGCUCGGAAUCACUGGGCGUAAAGGGCGCGUAGGCGGGAUGGCAAGUCAGUCGUGAAAUCCCCGGGCUCAACCCGGGAACUGCGUCCGAUACUGGCAGGCUUGAAUUCGGGAGAGGGAUGCGGAAUUCCAGGUGUAGCGGUGAAAUGCGUAGAUAUCUGGAGGAACACCGGUGGCGAAGGCGGCAUCCUGGACCGGCAUUGACGCUGAGGCGCGAAAGCCAGGGGAGCAAACGGG